GACGAACGCUGGCGGCGUGCUUAACACAUGCAAGUCGAACGGAAAGGCCCUGCUUGCAGGGUACUCGAGUGGCGAACGGGUGAGUAACACGUGGGUGAUCUGCCCUGCACUUCGGGAUAAGCCUGGGAAACUGGGUCUAAUACCGGAUAGGAGCCAUUUUUAGCGUGAUGGUUGGAAAGUUUUUUCGGUGUAGGAUGAGCUCGCGGCCUAUCAGCUUGUUGGUGGGGUAAUGGCGUACCAAGGCGGCGGGGGGUAGCCGGCCUGAGAGGGUGGACGGCCACAUUGGGACUUAGGUACGGCCCAGACUCCGACGGGAGGCAGCAGUGGGGAAUAUUGCACGAGGGGCGCAAGCCUGAUGCAGCGACGCCGCGUGGGGGAUGACGGCCUUCGGGUUGUAAACUCAUUUCGCUAGGGACGAAGCUUUUUGUGACGGUACCUAGAUAAGAAGCACCGGCUAACUACGUG
rnacentral:rRNA from 1 species